rnacentral:rRNA from 1 species
UACAGAGGGUGCAAGCGUUAAUCGGAAUUACUGGGCGUAAAGCGUGCGCAGACGGUUGCGUAAGUCAGAUGUGAAAGCCCCGGGCUCAACCUGGGAAUUGCAUUUGAGACUGCGUAGCUAGGGUGCGGAAGAGGGAAGCGGAAUUUCCGGUGUGAGCGGUGGAAAUGACGUGAGAGUAUCGGAAGGAACACCAGUGGCGAAAGCGGCUUCCUGGUCCAGCACCGACGUUCAGGCACGAAAGCGUGGGGAGC